AACGAGGCGAGAUCGAGCCUUCGUUUCUUAGGCUCGAUAGCUCGACGAGCUGCUCGUUAGGCUCGAGUAAAUGUGAAAUUAUAAAAAUACCCCUGAAUCAAUUAAAAUUUACAACUUAUUCUGUUUCUCACUUCUUCUAUUAGGUUACAUAAUUUUCCUUCCUCACUUCCUCCAAUUGAACUUCCUCCUCCGCCGCCGUGUCUCAUCAAAUCUUCCAUUUCCUCCAACUAUGACAACAAGACCUUAAAUGCUGGUGGCGGUGGCCUUAGAUGGUCCUACGACGAACACGCCAUAGCCGUGCGGCUGCCACCGCCGCCGUCGCCGAGGCUGCUCUUGCUGCCGCUCAGGCAGCUGCAGAGGUCAUCAGGCUGGAACUGUUUCCUUUACUCCUCCGGGCAGCAGUGGCAGAGACUGGCGGCAAGAAGUGGCGGCUAUUAGGAUUCAGUCGGCUUUCAGAGCUUACCUGGGAUUCUGUUAAAGUCUUCAUCUUUCAGCACAAUCAGUGCUAGAUCUGCCACAGAGAACAGCAUUAAUGAUAUCACAGUGACGGUAAAGUGUGAAUUCCUUGUUAGCGCAAAUUCUGCUUUCUUUUCGUGGAUUUUGUACUAAAAUUUGUGUGUUAUUUGCAGUAGUGUAAUGUUAAUAAAGGACUUUGGAUUAUAUUUCUAAUCAUGAUUUAACUGAAAGAGAGAGCCGUUCUUGAUUGGAAUGUGCUUAAUUUGGGGGUUCUAGUGAGAACGGAGUAUGUAAGUUUUAUUUAUUUAUUUUUUAAAUCCAGAAACAAACAUUAGACUUGAGCUUUUUAAACUAUGGUGCAAAGGUGAAAUGGCCGAAAAUUGUGAUCAUUUGUGUCAAAUCAAGACGAGUCUCUCUUCCACCUUGGUUGGUUGCAUUCCAUUUCUGAUAAAUUGAUUUAUAUGGAUAUAGAUAAACAACUCAAAUCUAUAAAUAUAAUUUAUUUAAAUGGUCAUCCAUAUCUAUUUAAACUUGUUUAUUAGGAUGGAUAAGUGGAUAUGGAUUCAAAUUGCCAUUUCUAAUUGUUGAUGACUAAAUUCCAUAAAAAAAAAUUGGAAAAAAAUCCUUCAAUUAUCCUAAAUUGUUUCAAAUUGGAUAUUUGGGGAUUAGAAUUGCGUUUGUUGAUAUUUUAAGGACUAAAACUCCACACGGAUAAAAAUGCUAUUUUCUUGCCUAAAUUUCCAAAAACUCGAGCUAAUUUUGAGCUCGAGUUCGAACUAGAAAUCGAGCUAAAUUCGAGCGAAAUGCGAGCCAGAAAAUCGAGCUGCUCGCGAGCCAUAAUUCGAGCUAAGCUCGCGAGUCAUAAGCGAGUCGAUCUCGAACUUGCCUUUUCUUAAAUCGAGCCGAGCUCGAGCUUCAUUUUACGAGCUCGAACUCGAGCUUGCAUAUAAAUUAGUCUAACUCGACUCGAUAAUUUUAAAACUCGACUCGGCUCGGCUCGUUUGCACCCCUACCAGUGUCCCAGACACUAAAGGUCAUAUACUUAGAUUUAGAUCAAGGGUCUGUCUAGUGGAAAUUUUGUUCAGUUUUAUCCAGUUGUAUAAUUCAUACAAUAUUUGGUAUAAACUAUUACAACUUAGAUGUAAAUAUAAAUUUUGUCAACUCGUAUGACUAAUUCAUAAUUAUACCAGAUUUGUAUGUAAAACAUUGUAAGAAUCACAACAGUUGGACACAAUCAAUUGAAGAAGCUGCUGAUCCCGUGGACUCUGGGUCUCCACUUUUCACAUUUUUUCUUCAAACACUCCACUUUCCACAUUAAAUCAUGGGACUAAAACAAGAUACUUCAGUACCAAGAUUCAGCCCAAAGAAAAGGAAUAUGGUACUAUUUGGUAUUAUCGAGGCUGAAAUGAAAUUUUGUACAGGCAAAAAACCAUUGACCCCUGUGGAACAAUUCUGAUAACAAAUUUGUGCAACAACCACUUUUUUGUUGGACGAAACAUUUUUAAUUCGUGUUGUAAUACAUCAUCUUUUAUGGUAGAAGAAACGGCAAUAUACACUGAACUGAAAGGUCAUUCAUUAUAUGGUACUGGUAGGCAAAAAGGUUUAGGAGUCAUCUACGCCUGCAAAAAAUAUAUAGAAAUGGUAGUCAGGAGAGAUGUCUACACAAGAAGGUAUCAGAGCUUCAAAUUAGAGCAAUCAGAGAAUCUCUCUACCUUGUUAACUAUGUUGUUGCAGAUCCAGUCCAGCCCCUCAUAAAGCCCUUCCCCAGAGAUGGCACAUGUGCUUUGGAUAAACCUGAGAAAGGCAAGAAAUCAGUAUUCAGUGCAGGAAAUCAGCUCGUUCGUGCACAUGUUUGCACUUAGGAGACAGCAGAGUUGGAGAGAGAGGUUACCAGUUACGCCGAUGGAGGGAGUGAAGACCAAGCUUGUCUGCAAUUUCUGCAGCCGUCAAUGCAUUUGGAAGAUCUUGCUUGUUUGCAAACACCAGGAGGAGUACUCCCGAGCAUCACGAUCUUGGUCAUUGCUAUCAACAACAAGGAUCACUGCUUCAAUGUUUUGGAAGUAAUAUCUUGGCAAUGGUAGUCUCUGAAGAUGAGAAUCAUCAUGGGGCUUACUCUUUGUGGUGCCAAUUCAUAAAAGUAAAAUGUAGAGAAUACUCAAUUUUCACGAAGCACAAACAGGGUUUAUACAAAUGCCCCAUCUCGAUUUGAAAACUGAGGUAUUAAAUUACACAUCAAAGGCAAGUUAUAUCACUUACAUUGUUCUGGC